rnacentral:rRNA from 1 species
GACGAACGCUGGCGGCGUGCUUAACACAUGCAAGUCGAACGGAAAGGCCCUGCUUGCAGGGUGCUCGAGUGGCGAACGGGUGAGUAACACGUGGGUGAUCUGCCCCUUACUUUGGGAUAAGCCUGGGAAACUGGGUCUAAUACUGGAUAGGACCAUGCUGUAGGUGGUGUGGUGGAAAGAUUAGUUUCGGUAAGGGAUGAGCUCGCGGCCUAUCAGCUUGUUGGUGGGGUAAUGGCCUACCAAGGCGUCGACGGGUAGCCGGCCUGAGAGGGUGGACGGCCACAUUGGGACUGAGAUACGGCCCAGACUCCUACGGGGGGCAGCAGUGGGGAGUAUUGCACAAUGAGCGCAAGCCUGAUGCAGCGACGCCGCGUGGGGGAUGACGGCCUUCGGGUUGUAAACUCCUUUCAGCCAUGACGAAGCCCUUGUGGUGACGGUAGUGGUAGAAGAAGCACCGGCUAACUACGUG